rnacentral:rRNA from 1 species
UGGGGAAUAUUGGACAAUGGGCGCAAGCCUGAUCCAGCCAUGCCGCGUGUGUGAAGAAGGCCUUCGGGUUGUAAAGCACUUUUGUUGGGGAAGAAAAGCCAUGGGUUAAUACCCUGUGGUCCUGACGGUACCCAAAGAAUAAGCACCGGCUAACUUCGUGCCAGCAGCCGCGGUAAUACGAAGGGUGCAAGCGUUACUCGGAAUUACUGGGCGUAAAGCGUGCGUAGGUGGUGAGUUAAGUCUGUCGUGAAAGCCCCGGGCUCAACCUGGGAAUGGCGAUGGAUACUGGCUCGCUAGAGUGCGGUAGAGGAGAGUGGAAUUCCCGGUGUAGCAGUGAAAUGCGUAGAGAUCGGGAGGAACAUCAGUUGCGAAGGCGGCUCUCUGGACCAGCACUGACACUGAGGCACGAAAGCGUGGGGAGCAAACA